rnacentral:rRNA from 1 species
AGCAGCCGCGGUAAUUCCAGCUCCAAUAGCGUAUAUUAAAGUUGUUGCAGUUAAAAAGCUCGUAGUUGAAUUUCGGAGUUUGUCGGUUGGUCGGGCUUAACUGUCCGCACUGACCUGAUGGAUUCCUACCUUCUGAAUAACUAGCAUGCUAUUAAUUUAGUGCGUUAGGGAAGCAGAGCUAUUACCUUGAAAAAAUUAGAGUGCUUAGAGCAGGCUUAUGCUUGAAUAGAUUAGCAUGGAAUAAUAAAAUAGGACGGCUUGGUUCUAUUUUGUUGGUUUCUAGGAUCACCGUAAUGAUUAAUAGGGAUAGUUGGGGGCAUUAGUAUUCAAUUGUCAGAGGUGAAAUUCUUGGAUUUAUUGAAGACUAAACUUCUGCGAAAGCAUUUGCCAAGGAUGUUUUCAUUAAUCAAGAACGAAAGUUAGGGGAUGAAGACGAUCAGAUACCGUCGUAGUCUUAACCAUAAACUAUGCCGACUAGGAAUCGGACGAUGUUAAUUUUUAAUGACUCGUUCGGCGUACC